GCUCUUGCUCCUGCUCACUUGACUUGGCCGUGGUCUUGGCCUUCGUUGCCUGGCCUUCGAUGACUUUCAACUGCUCCAAACUAGAGAGCAUUGUGCCCGUUGAUAGCUGAAAGCCACGUUGAUUCCUUGGGUAAGCUUUUGCCAUUUCUUUGGGUCUUACAUUGAAAGUGACCUCCUUUGUGUGAUCCCGUUUAGCCCUUUUUAUUCGUUGCAUCAGGGCAUCCAGGCUGUGCUUGAUUCUUGACGCAUCCUCGUAGUUUCUGGGCAGGAAACCUCGUUUUUUCAGAUAGACAACUGGCGACUCCCAGUUCUUAAUCAAAUUCUGCACGACCUCAUUAUAGGCAUGCAAUGGGUCGUCUGUCAAAUUAGCUGUGAGUCUUGACUUGGCGUUGGACUUUUGAAAUACAUUCAUGGAGCUGAGCACGAAGACAUACCUGUGCAGAUUGAUUGGUUAAGGGAUGUUUAAGGAAUAGUAGAAAUGUGUAAAAAUUCACCAUAGAACAAAUCGCAUGGCAACUGCGAGUAAAUGAAUAAUUGUUAAUAAAAUAUAUCGUUUAUGGUUACGUUUUGAAAAAUAGGGUUAGGCUAUAGAGAUGUAAGAGAACUGGUGGGCAAAAGGUCAUCUUUCAAAGAUUCUCCAGCCUUUUGUCAAUAAAAUCGUAACCUUAAUAGCUCGAAUCUAUUACGCAAAAUCACGAAAUAUUAACUUGGAAACAAGUUCGGAUUCAUUUAAUUAAAUCGCCAAAUAACCUGAGCCAUAAUCUACUGGCGCCAAUAUAUUGAAAUUCAAAGUAUCGUCUGUCAAAAUCUUUGACACCCCCAAAUCGAAUAAACCAAUAAAUAAAUACCGUACCCAUAAAUUAGUAUGCCCCACCAGAAUGAAUGAAAUGCCUAAGGUAUGAUCUGGCAAAAUCCAAAACAAGCGAAAUUGCCAAAAAUAAACGAAAAUAGAAGAGCCUCGGAGCACGAAAUCUUCAUAUGCAGUAUCCGUCAGCUAUUGUCAAGCACGCGCACCAUCAAAUAAAAAACACAUAUAUAAUGCAAAUUUUUGGAAAAAUCUACAGGCAGCUCUCGAACAGACAGACAGAGGAGUCUGAACAUCAAUCUUCCAUAUCUCAAGCCUAAUCACACUUUUUCACCUCAACCAACAGAAAUCCCCUUUUGUAGAUGCUGGAUUCCUUUGAGCAAAUGUAGCUGAACUCAUUUAGAAAACAUUGGUGAUUCCCAAG
ensembl:ncRNA asRNA:CR44165 antisense RNA:CR44165